GACAUACAAGAGGUGCGGGUUAUCUCAUUUAUCACAUUUACCGACAUACAAGGGGUGCAGGUUAUCUCAUUUAUCACAUUUACUGACAUACAAGGGGUGCAGGUUAUCUCAUUUAUCACAUAUACCGACAUACAAGGGGUGCAGGUUAUCUCAUUUAUCACAUUUACCGACAUACAAGGGGUGCAGGUUAUCUCAUUUAUCACAUAUACCGACAUACAAGGGGUGCAGGUUAUUUCAUUUAUCACAUUUACCGACAUACAAGGGGUGCAGGUUAUUUCAUUUAUCACAUUUACCGACAUACAAGGGGUGCAGGUUAUUUCAUUUAUCACAUAUACCGACAUACAAGGGGUGCAGGUUAUUUCAUUUAUCACAUUUACCGACAUACAAGGGGUGCAGGUUAUCUCAUUUAUCACAUUUACCGACAUACAAGGGGUGCAGGUUAUUUCAUUUAUCACAUUUACCGACAUACAAGGGGUGCAGGUUAUUUCAUUUAUCACAUUUACCGACAUACAAGGGGUGCAGGUUAUCUCAUUUAUCACAUUUACCGACAUACAAGGGGUGCAGGUUAUUUCAUUUAUCACAUUUACCGACAUACAAGGGGUGCAGGUUAUCUUAUUUAUC